AGGAAGGAUGGCAAAGGAGCCAAAGAUCAGGCGAGUCCAGGCCAAGGAGUCCGCACAUCUCUCAUAGGCAGUAGGGGCUCACCCACCGAAUGAAGUGGUUGGAUCUGCAGUUUAAGAAGAAAACCAAAAGCCAACUCUUUCCAACAGGCUUCUCUGCUGGCUCUCUAAGGUGAUGCCAACCAAACAUGGAGGUUGCCUUAAAGCAUUAACCUGAGUCUGAAGAAUGAACACAUGGAAAUGAUGCUCAUGAUGAGGUUAAUAAUCACACAAAAAGAAUAAUUCUGAGAUUAGCAAUUUACAACUACCUUUGGGCAUGCCUGCUGGCCCCAGGGAAGGAGAGAGGAGAAUCCAAGAAGGUCCUGGAAAGUUACCAGAAAGGAUGAGUUUCGAGGCAGUUGCAUGUAAAUGUGGCUUAGCCAAUGGGAAAGGAAGGGAUAUGUGUCCUGGUACAGGUAUUUGAGAAAUGUACAGUCCAUCUGUUAAGGUGUGCUCAACCCCCAACCAUUGUCCACACUUCAGUGACUUAAUCAGUAGAGACCCCAAAUUCAUGUCCAGUGACUUUGACAUCUUCGAGCUGAAGGACUGAUCUCUCAUUUUUUCAAUAACACUUUAUGACUUAA
ensembl:lncRNA novel transcript